rnacentral:rRNA from 2 species
AAAUUGAAGAGUUUGAUCAUGGCUCAGAUUGAACGCUGGCGGCAGGCCUAACACAUGCAAGUCGAACGGUAACAGGAAGCAGCUUGCUGCUUCGCUGACGAGUGGCGGACGGGUGAGUAAUGUCUGGGAAACUGCCUGAUGGAGGGGGAUAACUACUGGAAACGGUAGCUAAUACCGCAUAAUGUCGCAAGACCAAAGAGGGGGACCUUCGGGCCUC